ACUCUCCAAUCGGUGACUUGGUCGACUGCAUGCUCCAUGAGCUGAACAUGCUGGUGAUGAGCAUGGUGCAAAUUUGUUUGAUGGUCUGGUGAGACCAGUAGAGAAUGGAAGGGCGGGCUCUCUAGCUCGUGAGGAAUGGUGUUGAGAACAUGAUGGCUUGGCAUUUGGAAUUGUAGCUUCAGUUCCCUCUUGUAGGUAUUGUUCAGCAUUUGGAGGUGCUGUUCUUGCAGCUGUGGCAUGGCGUGAUGUGGCGGCAUUCUGCUCAUGGGAGAGUUAAGGUCAUGCAUGAAGGGUUCAUCUUCAUCAACAUACCAGCAUGGUGCAUCAUGGUAAAGCUGGUUGCAGUGAUCGAGUGAUGACGACAACUGAGACAUGCACGGCUAGCUAUCAGCUGGCUACUGAAGGGGGGAGAGAGAGAGAGAGAGAGAGAGAUGCAUGCGUCGAACAAUCGAUCGAACGUGAAACUUUAGGGUUGCCAUGUUGAACUCCUUAUGUAUGCAUAAUAUAGUGUAUUUUGAAACAUUAUG